CUCAUCCUUACUGACACCAUGACAUAGAGGGAGGGCAUCCAAGAGCUGACUGACGUACAUGCAGCAGGAAUAAUAUUUGGUAUUCUCACUUACGAACUCAAAUACCUCAAAGCAUGUGGGGGAUCCUCAAAUGAGAGGAAUAAAUAUUUUGCAUUGACUGCAGUCAAUGUUUACAGUGGAAAGUGAUUUCUUCAAAGGUUGAGACAGUGCCCAGUAGUGGGUUACGUCUGAAAGCGUGUUGGCCGUAGAGGAGCAGCACUUUUCCUACACCCAGGAGCCACGUGGGAUGGUCGGUUUCCCUCUGCCCUUCAGAGUCUACAAGGACUAGUUUGAACUACUCCCACCACCUAAGACAAUACUUUUUCUUUAUAAGGAAUAUUUGAGAAGGACUCAUGACUUUUUGAAUGGGGAAACGCUUCCGGCUGAACAGACUGAAUUCAUCUUCGGGCUGAGUUGUGCCCCAGAGCCUUCCCUUCUUAAAACAGGAAGAUGACGGGGUCAAGGCUCAGAGGUGACCCCAUGCAUCUCCUUCACUCUUCUUCUUUCCUGCUCUGUCUUCGCACACGAGCACCAUCCUGUUUCUUUGCCAGGUGACCCCAGCUCCCAGCCUCUGCAGUGUUUGCUGUCCCUUAAGAUAAGUGCCACUGGUGUCCUCUACUGCCUGCCCGAAAGUGAGCAGAGCUGCUCCUGGAGGAGUUCAGCCCCAGCAGGUGCCCACAAGCAGGGUGGUAGUGUGGUCGCCUCUUGGUCUGAUGGGAGGAGCUUGCCACUUGUGUGGCCCCUUGGAAAGGUCUCAGAAGAGUGAACAAACUUUCCGUGCGAGCAGGUGUAAGAUAUAAAGCUUUUUCUGUCACCUGUUGUUAGCACUGCGAGGUAAUUAAUGGCUUUGUGUUGCUCUCAGGGGUGUGGGUCCUACUGAGUGCAGGAUUCCCCCCCCUGCCUACAGCACAGAGCAGUCCUGUUCCCUGGGUGGGACGGUGAGCAGAGGUGGGCAGCUUCCAGUCGUCUCUGCUGGGACUCCUGCUCGUGUCUCAGGAGAAGCCUGCGGGCCCGACCAAAGCAGGGCACAUUACGAUGGGAUGGGAAACACAACCAGCUUCACAACAAACUCUACAAGUGGCCAGGACACCAUGUAGCUUUGUCAUCUCUCCCAGGAGCAAUGUUUUGAGGAGGAGGACAGCCACAGGUUGUUUCAGGAAUCUGCAUGCAGGAAAGCCCAAGGAGAUAUGUGCACCCUUCCUAGCCAUGCAGGUUGUCUUUCUCCAUCCCCGCCAACCCCGAUGCAAUGACAGGAGGAGCCAGCCCGGCCAUGCCCCUGUUUUGGGAAACCUUUGAUUCUGUGUGUCCAGACACGAGUGAUGGAGCAGGUUCACAGGAAUCUGCCAACACUGUGCAGCAAUGCCUUCUGCAAGGCCUUGCUCUCUGCUAAGCGUGGAAGAAACCCAUCAGAAAUAGGCAUCCGAUUCGGUCAGUUAAGUGCCUGAAAAAAACAGUUGGGAUAAACCCAGUCUACAUCCUCAAAAAUCACUAAUCGAGCCUUUCCCCAGCUCUCUAAUCUCCUGCAAUCAUGAGGUCUGGUUUAAAAUAGUCGUUCGCUUUUCCCCCUAAGCAGGAAUAUUGAGUAAAAUGUUAUUGGGAAUCUUCUGAUAAGUCAUGAGAGCUGAUGACAUUGCUUAGUGUUCAAGUGCCACCUAAAGCAACAUUUGCUCCUAAUGAUUUAUGUGCAUGCAAAUAUUCUGGCAAAUUCUCUGCUAUUGGAUCUCUGCAGGGAGAGACAAGCCAGAUACUGCACUCUCCUGCUCACCAGAAGCCAGAAGAGCAGGGAAGGCACAUACCAGAUUUACUGCAUAUACCUUCGUUGGCCAAACAAGGCAGGCAGCCAACAGCCCAUUCCAUGCAUCAGCCAUGGCUUCAUCUUGUUUUUGCAGUCAAAUGAGAAUGGCAAGGCACAUGGUAGGAGGUUAUAAUUUGGACUCUUUUGAUUCUUAUUACAAAAUUCAAAGUUUUUUUUUGUUUUGUUUUGUUUACAUGCUUAAAGAACAGAGGCCAAGUUUCUUCAUGCUCUUAAUUACUUGGGUGCAACUAGCAAGAAAGUUUGCUUUUCUCAUCUAGAAAGCAUUCAUCUGUAGCCAGUCACUUAUAAAAGACUUUUGGGAUAGUUUUUUCCAUUUCUCUGUUCUUUGAAUAUUAAGCAGCAAGUAGAAACCGAUCCCCUAGAGGAUAUAAUGCUUUCUGCUGCCUUGGCCUGUCGUGUACUUACCAAAAACAUUGAUUUCCUUUGGACCCCCAGAUAUUGCCGUUUUCCUGAUUGAUUGAAUGUGGCUGCAUAUUUCCAAAAUACACAAAGGUGAGACAACCACAAAUGUAUAAUUAAUGAAUUGUUCUGGCCCUAUUUACUACAGAAGUUACCUGAGCUCUGGCUGGAAAACAUAUCCUUUCUGGUCUGGGCCAAAUGCAUGCCAACAUGUAGUAUAUUUUCAUUAGGUUACAUGAUAUGAAUGUUUUUAAGAAUCACUUGUGUUCUCCCAGUCUGCCUGCCAGAAGUGUUGCCCAAAUCCAUUCCCUACUUAAUCGUGAAGGAAUGCUGUUCAAAAGAUUUGGGGUCAGGAGUGCUCAAUAAAUCAAUCCAGAUACACUCCUAAUGAGUGGUGAAUUAAACAGCAUUUGUUUUAAGAUCAGAGGUCCUCUUGGGAGAUUAUUUUUUAUUGCAAGCAGAAUUGCUCACUUGCAGGUAUCAAGAAGCUGGGAGUUAAGACCUGUUAAGAAGGUCCACAAAGGAAUCUGGAUCUUCUUUACUGAAAGCAUCUGAUUAUGUGCAGGCAACGGUGAUAAGUAGGUGAGACUCACGUCCUCCACUCGAACACCCUAGUUGCUGAAUUAAGAAAGAAAAAAAGUGCAGCUUCAGGUGGGAGGAAGCUAUUUAUACACCCAGUAUCUUACCUGUGCUGACCACAACACAGGACUUCAGAACAGGGAGCAGGGAGAGCACAGCUGAGGUGGAAAGGAGAUGUCCAAAGCCCAGGCUCACCAGCAGGUACAGGCACCCACUUUCUGGUAGCUCGGAGCAGGGUGCUGGGUGCUCGCAGAAGAGCCUGCCCUCAUCAGUGCUGGGCUCCUUUUCCUAGGGAAGGAUGGAAGAAGAAGAGGGGGGCUUUUGCCACAUUCAAGGACAACAUGCAAAAUCUCAAGCAAAAAUGUACAAAGGAGAAAGGAUUUUGCUUGCCUGCAAUAUCUUGAAAAUUUGUGUUAUUUUUUUUCAGAGCCUUGGAAAUUAAUGAAUUCCAGUUUUCUGACCACUCCCUAACUCCCCAUCAGCCACCCUUCUCUGAUCAGGGCAGAAGGCUCACUUUCUCAGUGCCUUGCUCUUGGAAGUAGCAGGUGAAUAUAAAAUACUUUCAUGGAGCCUAAGAUGCAUCUUGAGGCUACUUUGCACAGGACUGAGAGCCCCUGAGCAAGCAGGAGAGAAGCAGGUCCCCUGCCAAUAGCAAGAGAACCACACUUCAUGCUAGGAAAAAUUAAGAAACCCAUGCAUUCAGUAGGACCUGACCAUACAUCUCCCUUCUACAUCAUUAGGAAAAAUGUAGCUAAUUCCCUCAGCUGUUCUGAGAAAGUCAGUUAGGUCCUUUUCUGCUUGUACACAACAGCAUUUUUUGGCCACACAUUGCUCAUUACAGUUUCAUUUAAUUCUGGUUUAAUCAGAUAGGCUGGCAUUUCCUUUCCUGUGACAGUUCCAUGCUUGGGCAGAAAUAUCCCCCAGCACAGCCAUGUAUCACACAGUCACUGAGGGGAAGGGAGCUGCCAGGUGAAGGAAGUGGGUGCAGAUAUUUGAAAUAUCCUCAUAAGGAACAAGAGCUUUGAAGUUGCAGUCUCCCAGAAUAUUUAGCAAUCCUUGCUCUGAAACUGAAUUAUUAACAAAAAACGUUUUUGUUGUUGGUUGAUUAUUUGUUUUUAAUAAAGCAAUUUAAGGCUGAUGUGGGUCAAAACUUGGCAUUUUCUCUCUGUAGGAAAUCCUGACCUUUCCAGACAGUUUUUGUUCCAGAAUGGAACAAAGACUACAAAAGUUUUACCUCUCCUGUAGAAACUAAAUUCUGAACGUAAUUUGUUCUCAGAAGCUCAGAGCAUUGCUUUUCCCAUUUUCUGAAAGCAAAUGCAGCAGCCAUAUCGCACUAUGGGAGUGCUCUCUUCUCAGUGUUGUCCAGUUUGAAGUUCAGUGGUGCCAGAGGUGACUCUGCAGCAUCCUGUGACACCUGGCAUGUAGAAACCCCUCAGUCCUAUCCUUUCUGGAGCCACAAAAGCUGCCACAUGCCCAGCUGUGCAGUGGAGCCUGGGAGCCAUGCCUCUUACCCAGAGCUCUGCUGCCCACCAGGGUGCUCCCAGGAGAUACUGAUCCUGCAGGAUCGCCCAGAAAGCUUCAGUCUGGGGCUGACAAAUGUUUCUAGAAUCAAAAGUAUUUUCAUGAAACAUAUGUGGUUUGACAAAUUGCCACUAAUCAAUUACCAGUUCCUGACUAGUUAGGAAUCGUGUUGUUUUGGUGGGCAAGGAAACACAUUAUGGGCUUGGGAUGCUCAUGGUGUUUUUCAUACCAGUCACCAGCCUUAGAAAGAAUAUGUAUCAAAGAAACAAACCUGUGCAGGAAGUGAGAAUGAUCUUCAAAAGCUCUGAGGUGAUCGUAUGGAUAUAUUAGCCCGGGGAAUGUCACUGAUGGAAUUAUGAAUGUACAGCUUGUACAGGACAGGAGAAGGGCUGAAGAUCAAACAUAUGUCUGGAACAACACAUUAGCAUUAUGGUUAUUUGUGUUGGUUAGGCAUCUACAUCUCUUUCCUGUUCUAGACCUCACCUCCUUUUGAAAAUGGGAUUUAGACUCAUAAGCUAUCUGGGCACUUUUAAUCAUUUUAUUGCAAAUUAAAAACUCUCUUCCAGAAGUUACUUUGGUAUUUGCUCAUUCCCUGUUUUACAGGGAACAAUAUUCAUCCCCACAUAUGUCAGUUCACAAGGAGAGACCAUACAGAAAAAGAUGUGGCUUAUUAUACAGCAGUGAUGGAUGGUUUCUUUAUAGAAAACACUUGCACGUAAGAGAACAACUGUUGUGUAUUAAAUACAUCCCCUGUAUUGCGCUUAGAGUUCAUACCUGUUGCUGAAGGAAAAAUUCAAAGAGAGGAGGAAAGAACAAGCAAGCUCAUGAAAUGACAUGAGAUAUCCACAUAAAUACCAAGGAAUACACCAUGACUUUUGUUAUUACAAAGAGCACGUAUGGCAGUCAUGUUGACGUGGUGCUUGAGAAACUUGGCAAAUGGAUUGGUUUGUCAAUUCUUGCCUGGGACUUUUUGUUCCUGUACAGAAGAAGAGGGAAGAAAAUUCUGGGUAUUGAGGAGUUAGUUACUCAUAAAGCAUUAAUAGCUGGAGAGGUGCCAAAUCAUUAUUGUUUUUUCUGGAAAGGGUAUUAGGUAUUAUUCAACAAGAUAAGAUUUUCUUUCCAUGUGUCCAUACCAGCUCAAUAUUGGAAGAUGAAACACAUACCUAGGGGAUUACAGGCCCAGAAAUCACCUUUUCCAGGAAAAUGAUCUGAGUGAAUCACUUCAGACAAAAAUGUGUUGAAAUGUUAAACAAGUGCUCUCUUGAUUUAAUGUUGUUGUUAAUUAUAAAAAUAAGGCUCUGUGAAAAUGGAAACAAGUUAAGACUGAUAUUGUUAUAUAGAAUCAGUUUUUAAGGAAAACAAUGAAACUGGGCACAUUUUUUUGACCUCAAACUAAUCUGAGAAAGAGGUAGAAAAUGAAUCAGGGGAAAAUUGGUCCUGUAUUCUUUUCCAGUGAUGAAACAGCCAGAAUUACCAUAAGCUCAUGGUUUCUGCCACAGGUCUGCUAUCAAAGCCAUGGCUUUGUAGAUCUCCAGCUAGAAGAGUCAUUUUCAAACCUGGGGCCAGAGUUUCUCUGGGCAGGUCUUGAACUGUUAGGAGAGCACAGCUUGGCCAUGCCUUCAAAGAGAGACUCUUCCCAGAGUGGAGAUUCCCCAGAGGCCCUCUGCAGCCUAGCAGCCCUUAGUUUAUAUUGCAAGUGAGUAUACAAAACCACACAGGCCUGUGCAAUGUCCCUUGUUUGGUCUUUUUAAUUAUUAUUAGGGUCCUUCACGUGAUGCUUCUGUUUCCUGAAUUUCAUACAUUCAGGGAAGAUGCUCUGUCUCCUUCCCUUUUCCCAGAAGCUCCCUUCGUACAAUUAGUUCAUAGACAUACUCAUGUGCAUAUGGACAAAAUGGGAUCUUAAAAAGGCAAGAGCCCAGUGCUGGUGGCUACUGACAGGUGAGAAAGAAGAACAGCUGAGAUAGGAGAGCUCCAGACAGACCCCUACCAGCAGUAGAAGAGUGAAAGGAGCCAAUUGCACUAGCCAGGAUGCCUUUGCCAGUUACAGCCAAUUUUGUUGUUUUUGUUGUAAAAAAAUCUUUGAAUUUGAAAGUUGAGAGAAACUGAGUGUUUGUGUCCAAGGAAGAAAAUCCUGCUUUGGAUUCAAGGAGUGAGGAAAGAGGGGAGAGUUUCUGGGAAGGAAUAUCUGACCACUUGGAUAAGCCUCUGAGACACUGCUACACUUCUGCUCCUUAGUUAAAAUAACUGGAAUACUUCGGGGCUUUUUUGGACAGCAAUGUGGUGGUGGAGCAGAAGGGGUGGAGAAGAAGAAGACUGAUAGCAGCAAGUACUGGCAAGAUUCUGUUAAGCUGUAUCUAAUAAAAGUAGCAACAUAGAUAUCUCAAGCCUUUCUGCCAAGCCAUAAGGGUGUGAUUACUUUGCCUGGAACAUGCUGUAAUCCUCCCCGAAUCCACACAUAUUUCAGGUAGAGGAGAACAACUUUCUCCAUGCACCUUCUCCGUGUCUGGGCAGAGAUCCACCAGGUUUUCCAAACUGAUGCUUGGUCAGGUUUCCUGUCCUUGUUUCAGCUUUUCUUGUAAAGCUCUUUUACUUAAGUCCUGCUGAACCCAUGUUAGCAGAGAGGUUAGUCCUUCCUGCUGUUUGACAUGGGGCAUUGAGUUUACCACGUCUCUGGACAGCAGGUUUACAUUGGUCUCACCUAAUUUUGCCAUCAGGGGAUCAAACUCAGACCAACAGACUGCCAGGAAAUAUUUGGCAAAAGGAUUCAGGAAUAUUGAAGCGUAUACGGGCAGCUUUAACAUGCAGUCCUAUAGGGAAACAAGGAAAGUACCACAGUAUGAGUAUGUUUUGGUCUGCACAUACUUAUAGGGUAUGUACAGGCUUGUAUUUAGAGAGAGAGAGAUGGGGAGAGGGCAAGAGCAGACUCAUCUGGGGAAAACCAAACAAGGCAGGAUGAGGAGCGCUCAAGCCCCUUUACACAGGCUUGCGCUGGUCGGUGGCACAGCAACCACAUUCCAAGUGGCUUCAGCAGUGGGAUGGGCCUGUCGAUUUCCCAUUAAACCCCCAAAAUGGCACAGGUACAGCGCCCUGUGUGCUUGGUCUCAUCAUGAAACCACUGCCAACAGCAGAAACACCCUUCCCGAGGCCAAGAAGCAGGGCAGCGGUGUGGCAAGAAGCCUUCCCAAGCAGCUGCAAGGCCCCGCGGGGCAUGUCUCCGUGCUCAGGCAGCACCAGCCUCAGGCCCCACGUGGCCCCGAUUCCCAGUGCUGCACAGGCAGCAGCCACCAGCCCUGGAAGCCAAUUAGAAAGUCUGUAAAAUGCCGUAAAAGGCAGUUUUCUGCUGGCUGCGUGGCCUGGUACUGAUCACUAUGGGCUCCAAGCCCAGGCCUUUCUUCUUUCGCUUCAAUUACAGGGCCUUCAAAGCGUCUGGUGUUUUCAGUUGUGAUUGUCAUCACACUUCAAUGCAGUGUGUGCCAUGGCACGUGUGCGAGCGCAGCUGGGUUUCUCUACAAAACCAAAGAUAUUUGCUUUACAGGCCUGUACAUACAGUCCCUCACAACCUGCCAACAGCCAAAUGUGUUGGGCUACCAUUUCUAGCAGAGGAUCAAAGAGUACAUUUAAAUGCUUCUGAUUCAACAUACAAGUAACUACAGACAGUCACAUGCAACUGGGGUGGCCGGGGAGUUUGUGAGAGGAAAAGGAGGUAUUAAAAGAAGAUGUAUGAUGGGUGUGCAUUUGCAAAUUUGGCUGGCUGUGUGAGCCUGCUGGGUGGGACGCAUGCUUUUUGUGCAUGGGACUGGAGAUGGCCCCAGAAGGGUGCUGCCACUGCUUGGGCUAAAACCUCCUGCAGUGGUGGCCCCAUCCUGCUGUAUGUCCUGGGGACAAGCACCAGACCUGGCCAGGAUGUCCCUUGUGGGGUACAGGUGAGCCCCUAUCACUUAGCAUGGAAGCACCAGGAUCCGGGCAAAGGUUUUGGAGCUCCUGCUCUCUGAAGACCAUCCUUGGCACUCUGAGGUGUGCAGGCAGGGUGGGCAGCCCCCAGGCCUGCUCCUCCAUUUUGGUCCAUGAGAUGCAGAACUGACUUCCCUGCCAGCAGGGUCGGGGCCCAAACAGAGGGGAGGAUUUCUGGUCAUCCAGUGGGAACCACCUCUUUUUCUUGCUCCAUGGUUCCGCUCAAGACAAUGAGAAAGAAGCCAGGAAGACCCAAGGCAGGUAAACAAGCAGCCUGGUGUUGUGGCCACUUAGGCAAAAGGGGCAGGGAGCAUUUGUCUUCUCAUCCUACAGUCCUUCCUUUUAUAGCUUUGUGGCAGGAGAGGGAAAAUCUGCACCCUGAAAAAAAAGAAAAAAGAAAAAAAAAAAAGAAGGAAAAAGAAAAAAAAAAAAAAGGAAAAAGAAAAAAGAAAAAAAAAAAGAGAAAGAAAAGGAAAGAAAAAAAAAGAAAAAAAACCUGAAAAUGAUGAUUAGAGCAGAACAAAAAGCAUUAUGUAGCACAGCCUGGAAACAGCUCCUUCUCCUCUGCCUCAGUGAGAAUGUCACACAGGGAGGUAAUGAUGCUUAAAAUGACCCAUUUGUUGUGUUUUAUUAAUGUUAUCAUUUCAUUUCUGUAAAAUAGAGCAUGUGUAAUGGCUGUCAUCUUGACUGACUUGUCAAGCCUCAACAGCUCUGUAGGGCCAGAUCCUGCUCAGGGCUCCCUGCUGGCUCUUCUCAUGAAGGAUGAAACAGGAUGAGCUUGGGGAUGGGUCUCACUGCUCCUCCUGUCCCCAGGGCUGCCUCAGGCAACACUGGAGGAUGUGCUGAACCCACGGAGGCAAAGGACAGACCCUACUCCAGGCACGGUGGCGUGGUGGCAAUGUUGCCAGACUCUGCAAGACUCCAGGGCGCUUGUCUGCCAGAGCUGCUACCUGCUACACAGAGCAGAUCAGCUUUGGCUUUCUUGAUUUAAUACACUAUCCCGUUUAGCUGAGCACACAGUGCCUGCCUUAACUUCAAUUUUUCUCGGUUUUACUUGGUUUGUGCUAUGCUUGUGAUGUUCUUUAAAAAGCCUUUUUCUUUUUUUCAGUGAAUGUGUACAGUAGCAAUUUACCAGAUCAGAAGGGAUUUACUUUCUUCUUUCUUUAAUAUAUUUUAAAAACAAAAUGUAUCUCUUUUCUUUCCCAGGGUUAACAUAAGAGACCCGAUCUUGUAAUAACCCUGUUUCCUGGUAAUGAUGCAGAACAAUGGACAGUGGUAUGGAAUAAUUCUUUCCAUACAGGAGUUAGAGGCUGAUUUCACUGCUGGUAAAAAAUACGGGACUGUAGCAAUUAUCAUAGCUUUAACCACUUCUCCACGGUUUGUGGAUUUUUCUCUGAUCCAGGAUACUGCACGCGUAGCUGGGAAGUUGCAGCUAGCUGCAGUACCUGUCAGUUUGAAUUCCAGCAAACAAGUUGCUCCAGAAUCGUGGUGUUCUGGUAAAUGACUCUUUUAACAGAAAACCUGCAAUAUUCUGCUGACAAACACCUCUCAAAAACUUAAUUUUACCCUCUUUGCCCAGACAAUGGGUUUUAGCCAUAAGCUAGAAAGACGGUGAGAAGGUGGUCAGUCAUCCAAAUAGAUGUGAGUUCAGCCAGAGCCCUGCAGCACUCACACGGGCAGAGGUGAUCCUGCCCCACUAUGGGAGAGGGGGAGAUUAGCUUGCACCCAGGAUGGGAUAAGCCAGAUUUCUCCAGAGAGUUGGCUGCUGAACUCCGAUGAAGUCAGAGUCGAUUAAAAUAGAAAAAAAGCAUCUUCAGCAAUCUGGGCUUGAUGGGCUGGGCUCCUUCAGAAGCAUUUAGACAUUUGGGAUCAGGCAAACACAGCAUUUCAUGAAAACAGCACCAGGUGCUGCCCCGCUGCACACAUGGGCUCAAAGGGACAUUGGCAAAGGGGACACUGCCCUGGGCUGGACCCAGAGACUGUGCUUCUGAUUUUGUUUCCUCUCCUAUUGACCACAGGCAGCUGAUCAACAGGCACAUUCCCUUUCCUGUUUUGCUUUGUUGUGACUGGUAAAGUAACAAUAAAAUCAGCUGUGGUUAAAUCACAUUUUACCUUAUUGGCAGAGAGAGUGAAAGUUUGUCAUGCUUGAUUAACAAAUGUUGAUUGAUUAGAAGAAACGAAUUAGGUUUCUCUGCCCCACUGCACUGGCUCCUGAUGUACUAAAUAUUUGCAGGAGACAAGGGCCCUCCGUUUCACUGCCAUUUUUUUUUUCUGUUGGUGUUUUAAAAGGCAGGUCUGACACUGCCACGGGAGGAGGCUGGGGAUGAGGUGCGAGCUUCCUCAGCACCCAUCGCAGGGGUUGUGUGGGCAGGGAGGGUGGCAGGGAGGCUGGGUGCAUGCAAAGUGCUGGGGGAGUGAGUGUUUGCAAGGUGAGAGUGAGACCUGUGUGUGGUAGCAGGCAUGGGCUUGUGUGAGCACGUGUGUGUAUGAGAUGUGGGUUGGUGAGGUGUCUGUGUGUGCAAGGCUGAAAACGUGUGUGGGUGUAAGCAUGUGAGAUGUGAGUGUGCAAGGUGGAUGUGUGAGGGUGCGAGGUGUAUCAGCAUGAGUAUGCUAGCAGCAUGGGUGAUGUGUGUGUCUGAGCUCUGAGUGUGUGCAUGCUGAUGAAACAGAUGUCACUGAAGCUUCAUGAUAAGAUAUGGUCAUAGAGGCUAACCAAAUGACUUCUCAGACAGUCCCCUAAAAGUAAAUUAGCGAGUUUUAGCCUGGGAUAUUCUAAAACAAACACACAUUGGUUAUCGGUCCAUUUUGGUAUGCACCAGUCAUCACCAAUUGCUGGAAUAAAUAAUAACAAUAAAAACCUUUAAAUACAUGAGUCAUGGGAAGAGCUGGGAUAUAUCACUAACACAUAGUUGACAAUAUUUCCUGCAUCGGUUCACAAACCGCUGGGAUGUCCCUGGUGAACUAUGCACAGUCCAUCGUGCUCGCAAGGGGAAUAUGUGUGCCGUCAGUCAUUGGCAGCACAGCAGGGGAACCAACAGUGAAAUAAAAGCCUCGGUGCACACAGCGGAGGUUGUGGGAUGCUUGAAAACUCCUCAAACAGCUGAAAUGUUGCCGCCAAGCAGAUAAUCCAGAAAUUGAGUCAGGCCCUGGGAUGCAGAAGGCUGCCUCAUUUGUGUGAAAUCCUGUGCUAGCCCCUGGGAAGACCCCCUGCAUCCUAUGGAAAGGGCUUGUUUGGUAAGAGGAGAAUCUGUGGACUCUUGUCAGCAUUUGAGAUCUAUAAACAGAGAUUUGAGGGAGAAAAAUUCAAUCUAGAACAGAUUGCUGGAGAGGGAAAGGGGAAAAGUUGAAUUCUUUAGUAGAGCUACAAUAACUACUUGUAGGGAACAGCUUGUCUCUGCUAUUUGCAAGAGUAAGCUUGCUUUCCUACAGUGAUACACAGUCAAUGUACAGUAUGUCAGAAGUUACCUGAUAAACAGUGGGUAUGUCUUUGGAAAUUACGCAAUUUUACAUUUGUUUUUAGGUUUUACACACUGAGAGAGCUGGGGUUGUUCAGCCUGGAGAAGGGAAGGCUACCGGGAAACCUUAUAGUGGCCUUCCAGUGCCUAAAGAAAGCAUAUUAGAAAGAUGGGUAUUGACUCUUCAUCAGGGAGUGUAGGGAUAGGACAAGAAGUAAUAGUUUUAAACCAAAAGAGGGUAGAUUUAGAUUAGAUAUACAAAAUAAAUUCUUCACUCAGAGGGUGGUGAGGCUCUGGAACAGGCUGUCCAGAGAAGUUGUGGCUGCCCCAUUCCUGGAAGUGUUCAAGGCCAGAUUUGGAUGGGGUUUUGAGGAACCUGGUCUAGUGGAAAAUGUCCCAGCCCAUGGCUGUGGGAUUGGAACUAGCUGGUCUUUAAGGUCCCUUCCAACCCAAACCAUUCUGUGAUUCUGUGAUUCUUUUAGCAGAACCAAAAAUUGUGAUAAGGGAAGUUUGACUUAUUCUAUGGCAAACCACUCACUAGACCAAGAAAGUCAGCAUCUGUGCACCCUCAAGAGCUUUCGUCCUUCUGUCUGCAGAAUUAACCACAGUUGUACUUGUCAGACGAGUCACCUUUCAGGAUACACUCAGAUCCUGUGGUAUGAACAAAUCCCACACUGUGGGAGCUGACACCUCUGAGGAGACCAACUGGAAAGCAGAACCUUUCCCAUGAUACUCUUUCUGUUCAGGAAAGCAAGAUUUUAUCUCCUAUGUAACACAAAGGAAUGCCAGGGAAAAGCUCUGCCAUUUUUGUCUCCCAGCAGAUACAAUAAAAGAAAUGACUUAAUAAGUUUAAAAAAUAUUUACAGUUAUUCCAUGUGGUUUCUUCAGGUUACUGCACAUUAGUAUCAACACAGAUCACAGGUCUUGUUUUGUUGUUGGGAGUAUAUUGUGCAGCUCCUCUCCAAGGCUCUUGUCCUUCUUCAGUAAGGUAAGUACAUAGGUCUUUGCUGAUGGAGAGCUUAAACCACUUGAUUUUCCACCCUAAUAGAUGCCAAGCCUUUAAAACUCAGCAAACGUGGCCACAUCAGUACCAACUGCACCACAUGUGAAAGCCCACAAUUGUCUGACUCUGUUGCAAACAAAAUCUUAUUCAUGGGAAUGUUCAUGGGAAAGUUAACGGGAAAGUUCACUCGACUCCACCUUUUAAAUGAAGACAGACAGCAGAUAUGAAAAUGGCUUUUGUUUUCAAUUUCAUUCCAUAUGGUUGUGGGGUGGAUGCAGGAUCAAGCUAUUUGUAUCCAAAAGGGAACAUUCUUCCUCUAGAUAUGAAACAUCCAAGUAUUUGCAAAAGUUAAAUUUUAAGAGAAGUGAAUAAUUCUGCUUUUACUACCUUUUCAGCUGCCCUGGAAAUAUAGACCAUCCUGCACUAAUAAGUUCCAUUUCGGGAGUCUCUUUUGUUUUGAAAAGCAGAUGAAGAAGUUCAACCCAUAGCCUUUCCAGAUAAGAGAAGGAAGCAUGCCUUUAUGCAUACAAAUAUAAGAAUCUGUCAAUAAUUUGCAUAUGGAUACUCUGCAUGCAUAAUUAUGUGCCUGUGUCAUCACUUGUGCAUUUUGAUGUUGGUUAUUCAACACCUAGUUAACCACCCAAAUGCAUGUAUCUUUGCACUGUGCUAUUAUUUUUAAGCUCAGCCUAAUCGGAAUCCUAUAAAUAUGAUUGUUAAAAAUUGCAAUAAAAUAAAUUCUGUACUCUAAAGUACAAUGCAGUUGACUCUGGGAUGAAACACUUGGCUCUGUGGAGAUAAUUUUAAAAACCCUGUCUGAAUGAAACUGGAUGAAGAUAAAGAUAUAUCAGUAAAUUGAAUGCAACAUAUGAACAUGAAUCUUUGACAAGAAAAUUUAUGCAAUUUUAUGAAGUUUUGCUGUGUAAUGAAAAUGAAAAGAUAUUCUCAGUUUAGCAUGAAGGGGGAAGAGCCCUUUACUUCAGAGUCACCCCCUGCCCAGCCUCCAGGUUCUCCCACCACUUCACCUCCUCACCCUCCCGUUUCUCUCUUUCCACACUGCUUCUCCAGCCAGGGAGCUUUCCAAACUCUGCUGUAUCCCUUGGAAGCUGGUCUUCAAUCUCCUUGUGACAGGGGCAGGAAGGUGUGGUGAAGGGUGGUGGGAAGAACUUUAACAUGACCAUGAUGCCGAGGGUCCUGGGUAUCCUUGGGGGCUGCAGGAGGAGAAUCUGUGGCCCCAGGGCCAUGAGAUGCUGUGAAGCUGCUCUCUGCUACUCGGGACCUGUGGAGAAGCUGUGCUGGGGUGCUUGGGGUGAGGCACUGGAAGGGGAGGUUUGGGAAUUUCUGGGUUCUCCCAUGCCACGGAGCCUCACUCCCUGCAUGCCGAGGCAAGAAAGGAGUGAGGAACAUGUAAAUGAUGAUGGUCACCGUGGUGAGAAGAGACAUAAUACUGUGCCAUGAGCAACCAGACCUGGAGUUUGCAUUGGAUAUUGACUUUCAUGGCAGAAACGUUGCGUGUUAGGAGCUGGCUGCAACACGACAUUGCUCUGAUGACGCCAGAAGCGAGUGGAUGAUGUAGAAGGGAAACUGAGGCUGCACCAGGGAUCAGCACCAGCUCCAGGAGACCUUUCUGUUCUCACCUUUGGUCAGUCAGGAGUAACUAAAUCAUGCAAAAAUGUGGAAGAGGAGUAUCUGUUCAUCUCUCACAUGGCCAGAGCUCAGCCUGGCCAGACUCCUGGGUGGCUGCAAGUGCAGGGCCAGCAAGGCGCCAGCCCUACAGCAGAGGCAGGUCCCCACGAGGAGACAUCUGUGUCUGCACCGGCUCGGAGGCCAGAGCACCACCAGCUCUGUUCCCCUGGUGAAGCGUGGUGCUCCGAGGAGCUGUGUGUGGCUUUCCCUGGAGAAGGCCCGCUGGCUGGUCCCAGUGACUCGCUGGAGCAGAUAAUGGUGUCUGGAAAGGCAGCUGUUAUCUCUCGUGCCGUCUGGACGCCGGGGCUCCCUUCCUGUCUGGCCGGAGCACAGCCCUGCUCCUCCAGGCCGCGCUCGACACUGUCUGCUCAUAGCCACUGAGAGCCAGAUGCUGAUCCCCGUCCCACAGACCCCUCACACAAAACUGCAGCCACCUUUCCUUUUUUUUUUUUUUCUCUUCUUCUUUUAUUUUUUUCCCCAAAUAAAUAUUUUUGAAAGCAAAGAGGAAUAAAUUCACUCUUGUAA